UCGGCAGAGUUAAAGUUAGCUCGGUUAAUUAGCUUCGAUAGUUAGCUUAGCUUUAGCUGUUAUUCAACUGUAGUUGCAACCACAGAACAUGAAUUCAUCUUUUCCUUCCUCUUAUGUACAAAUUGAACAUUACAUUGUGGCUUUAUAAUGCUAUCGCUGACACUGUUUUGCCCACAUUUGCUUAAUUUGUGGAAGGGUAUGGAUUUAAAGAAGGUACAGUUUUGAAUUGUGUCCUUGGAAGUACAGCCUGCCAUGUUCAACCCCAGUGAACUAGAAGGUGAAAUUGAUCACUCAUUUUUUGACAGUGACUGUGAUGAUGUAAUUAGCAGAGAUGGAGGGAAAAAGAUGGUCAAAAAUAGUAAGACUGAGGAGAACCCACCAGUACAAGAAAAGCUACAAACAAAGCAGACUGAAAAUGCAAAGGAUGGUGUGCACCUGAGUGGUAAGGAGACAAAAAAAUAUCUGAAGCCUGUGAAAAACGACAACAGCCGAGGAGCUGGACUGAAAGAUAUCAGCUGUCAGCCUAAGGAAAAAGACAGGGACCGAUCAUUUGGAACAUCAACUGACUCUAAAUCUGAUCAAAAUUUCAAUCAUAGAGAUAGUGGAGAAGAACACAAUUUUUACCGUGGAAAAUUUCUGAAUUUGUUAUCCAGAGAGGAAGAUAGAAAUGAGGAUGAGAGUUCAAAUGAGACUGAAGAAGAGACAUCACAUGCCAAAUGCUCCAGUUCAAAACUUAAGAAUGUAAGGUCUCCUAAGAAACUAACAAGAAACCGGCGCUCUCGAACUCCAUGUCCCUCCUCACCCGAGGCCAGUACGGACUCAGACCCUGAUGGCUCAUAUAGCAGUAGCAGUGGAAGAAGCAGUGUGGCCUCCCCCACCCUUCCCAGGCCCGAUAACCCUUUAUCAAUUAAAGGGAGGGGAACUGGAGUGGGCUUAGCAGCAUCUCAGGACUUACGCCCCCUCCAUACUGAUUCAGAAGAUACAGUGACAGAUGUGAGUCCCCUCUCGUCUCCUGACAGUAGUCGUCUACAGUCACUGGAUUUGAACCACACAGAGACUGAAGAUGGGACGGUUAAAGAGCAAGAGCAGGAGAGUAUGCCCUCCAGUGGCCUUAGUAAUGUGCCCCAAGAUGACGACUCAAAUCAGGAUAUUGAUGAGUACUCUCUUGAUUCUGAGAGUCAGUUUGGAGACAGAGUGGUUUUUCACUGUCCUGUGGGGAAGAAUCGGAAGAACUACUCAUUCACCAAUGACGAGGUCCGGCGCAUAGACCGAGAGAACCAGCGGCUUCUUGGCCAGCUGUCACGGCUUUAUCAAGGGUCCAGGCCAGGAAGUGCAGCAGGACAGAAACGCCACAAGACCAGUAACUCACCUCUCACUCGCCGUUCUCACAGUGCACUCAACAGACAGCGUGAACAACAGCGAAUUGAAAGGGAGAACCUGGCUUUUUUGAAAAGGCUAGAGACUGUUAAGCCUACGUCGGGCCUGAAGCGUUCUGAACAGCUAGCAGACUACCAGCGCCAAGUUGGAUACCUGGGAGGUCCUUCAUACCCCAUUUUUAAGUCUACCACAAAGAAAGAAAGACCAACCAGCAGGACAUCUUCAGCAGGUAGAGGCCUUAGGCAAAGCAGUGCUGCCCACCGCAGUGCCACAGCUGUUUCAUCCUCCAGUAAAGACCCCAGUGAUGUACCCGUCCCCAGAACAAAAAUAACGACUGGAUCCCGGCCAGCUUGGUGCUGACAACAUGAUAUAUUAAAUGUAACCUAUGAACAAAUAGUCCUCCUGUGGUGACAUAAUCGUCAUUUAACACAUUGCAUCUGUAACUUGUUAAGAUUUAAAGGCAAAGUGUGUAACAUUUUCCAUAUCCAACAAUAAUCCUUUUCAGUCAUCACUCCUCAGUGUGUGGUGUUGUAUUUGUUUGCACUCUGUCUGUGUUUUCUGUUUCCUUCUUGAUUUGCUGUGACAGAGUCAGGAAAUAACAUUUUAUUUUUCUAUUUCACAGUUUUUUUUUCUCGCUGCAUCCACAGAUUCUCCAUUCAGUCAGUUUCUCUGACUUUCACUCCCUUGUUGGCAAAUGUAGUGGAGGAAGAAAUUUAACAGUUCUGUUUACAAUCACAAGUGAGAAAUUUUUACACACAUUGCCUUUAAGCAGUUUUUAUUCACAUUCAUAAACUAUCAGUUGACUCCAUAUUCAGUAACUGUCUUGCUGAUCCUUUUGGGGAUUUUAUUCCUGUUCAUUGAUGCUGAAAGAUAAUGAAUAUUUUGCUCUGGGCUGUUCAUAAAUACUGUAAUGCUUCUUAGAGCUGCUGGUCAUAAAAGCUUGCUGUAUUUUUUUUUUUUUUUUUUUUUUUUUUAAUUUUAGGAAAUACUGCCUCUUUCAACCAUGGUAUAGCAAUGAGUAAAAUAGCAGAUAAUUAUGCUUAUUUUAUUGUAAGCGCCAUUUCCCUUAAAUUUGCACAUUUUUUGUCUGUGUGUCAUUUGUACAUUUAAUGAUGCUCUAAAUUGUUAUGUUUUUACUCAAAAGUAUGUUUAAGUAAUUAUUUUUUGGUAAAUUAUUACUCCAUUUCUGCCAAAAUAAAGCUUCUUAUUCAGGAUACUGACAGUUAAUACUUUUAAACCCUACAGAGGAAUGACUAAGAAAAUCUAAUUGUCUCAACAGUUAAUAGUUGUUAGUUUGUAAUUUUGGUGGGUUUUUUUUUUUUCAUCAAUGAUCACAAUAAUCCAUAACCAUGAUUAACCAAAUUUGAAUUUUGCUGAUUUAAUUUAAGUGGAACCAAGAAAAAUCUUUAUGAAUCUAAAAUAUUUUAUGGUCUUACUUUAUAUGUACAGUCUUAAACUCAGAAGAUGUAUUGCCAUGACAACAGAACAUGAGCAUCCAGAAGUUAGACUAAUAAAUCUUUAUUAUUAAAAUACUGUAGGAGGUGUGAUACAUGGAUCUUAAUGGUCACAACAUUACAACACAUGGGCUUCAAAGACUGUUUUAACAUAGGGAGGAUAUGACAGGUAGUGGCUUCAUCCUGUACAUCGGCAAAUACAACUGAACCACCAGCUUGACUUAGUUGUACUGAAAUCUCUGCCGUCUGACAUGUUGUAGAAUGGGGUAUAUACACAUUUCUGUGGGGGCAUGUUCACUCAGGUCAGGUAUACCCAUACCUACCUUCUCAGGGCUAUCACAGAAGCUUACAUGCCCAAACUGUAAUUCACCACAAGCUGUUAUCACUCUAUCACAAUUAAGACUUAAGAAAGAUGAAGGGUUUCCUUGGGAUCUGGGAGAU